CCCUGGAUCCGCCUAUGCAUAAGUUCAACUGUAGUCAAUCGAAUCAUAGGUACCUUAUUUAUAUAAUUUGCACCACGUGACUUUUGCCCUUUUGAUUAAAUUACUUCUCUUUGUCUAAGAUUGAAAUUAUAAUUAUAUCAAAUUUGCGGAUAAUCCAGUCCAUUUUCGUCAUGGAUCUAAGACUAAUAUGUUUUGGAAAACUUCCUUU
rnacentral:lncRNA from 1 species